rnacentral:rRNA from 1 species
CCUACGGGGGGCUGCAGUGGGGAAUAUUGGACAAUGGGCGAAAGCCUGAUCCAGCCAUGCCGCGUGUGUGAAGAAGGCCUUCGGGUUGUAAAGCACUUUCAGUGGGGAAGAAAGCCUUGGGGCUAAUACCCUCGAGGAAGGACAUCACCCACAGAAGAAGCACCGGCUAACUCCGUGCCAGCAGCCGCGGUAAUACGGAGGGUGCGAGCGUUAAUCGGAAUUACUGGGCGUAAAGCGCGCGUAGGCGGUCUGAUAAGCCGGUUGUGAAAGCCCCGGGCUCAACCUGGGAACGGCAUCCGGAACUGUCAGGCUAGAGUGCAGGAGAGGAAGGUAGAAUUCCCGGUGUAGCGGUGAAUGCGUAGAGAUCGGGAGGAAUACCAGUGGCGAAGGCGGCCUUCUGGACUGACACUGACGCUGAGGUGCGAAAGCGUGGGUAGCAAACAGGAUUAGAUACCCUGGUAGUC